ACACCACAACUCCGGAAAGUACAAUGACCAGCGGGCAGGCCCGAGCUUCCACCCAGUCCCCCCAGGCCCUGGAGGACUCGGGCCCGGUGAAUAUCUCAGUCUCAAUCACCCUAACCCUGGACCCACUGAAACCCUUCGGAGGGUAUUCCCGCAACGUCACCCAUCUGUACUCAACCAUCUUAGGGCAUCAGAUUGGACUUUCAGGCAGGGAAGCCCACGAGGAGAUAAACAUCACCUUCACCCUGCCUACAGCGUGGAGCUCAGACGACUGCGCCCUCCACGGUCACUGUGAGCAGGUGGUAUUCACAGCCUGCAUGACCCUCACGGCCAGCCCUGGGGUGUUCCCCGUCACUGUACAGCCACCGCACUGUGUUCCUGACACGUACAGCAACGCCACGCUCUGGUACAAGAUCUUCACAACUGCCAGAGAUGCCAACACAAAAUACGCCCAAGAUUACAAUCCUUUCUGGUGUUAUAAGGGGGCCAUUGGAAAAGUCUAUCAUGCUUUAAAUCCCAAGCUUACAGUGAUUGUUCCAGAUGUAAGUGAGAAAAAUUGUGUGUGUGUGUGCGUGCAUGCAUGCAUAUGCACGUGUGUGCGCAUGUGCUGCAACCGUUGGUGUAGGCCCUGCUGACUUCCCUGGGUAAGCGUAUCCUCUGCCACUUUAGAUUUCCAGGUGAGUUAGGACACUAGGCGGAGUGGUGGAUGCUUGGAAAAACAUGUUACCCAUUGGUUAAGAAAAA
rnacentral:sRNA from 1 species